AUGCUUAAGUUGAUGUCUAAAAGAGUUUAAGGAGCUAAUCGGGAGCUAAACGGAGCACCGGGACGCGAACGGAUCAACCGGGGAUGUGAAAUGAAGAAAACCGGGUUAAUCACUAAGAAUGGAUGUAUUUUGGGGAAUGUUGAUGGAUUUAAAAUGAAUAUAUUGGAAGAUGGCAUGAUAGAGGGCUGAAUUACGAGAACGUGGGCGAAAACGGUGAGUAAAACGGAGCUAUAACGAAAAAGUUAUGAAGAAAACAGUUUUGGACGAAACCGACAAAACCAGGCAGCGUCGGGGACGCCCAAAAGGGCCGUCGGCGACGCCCUCUGGAUUGUUCCGUCGGCCAAAAACCUCCGUAAACAGCUAAUUAAGCCGUCGGGAGAAACUGAGACUUCCAAGGGCCGUCGGGGACGCCCUAAAUGGCCGUCGGCGACGCCAUCUGCAUUCUCAUAUCGCGAAAAUACUUGAUUUUUGAGUUGGGGACGAGUUAUAACAUCAAUUUUGACCAAGAAACGUGGGUUACACAUUAUUUUGAAGUUUGAAUAUCAUCUUGGGGCCCCUAAUCACCAUCUUCACCUAUCAUUCCAUCUAUCAUCCUCUCUACAACCCGAAUCAAGAACAAUUCAUCAUCAUCUUCUUGAUUCAAAACCCUAGCUCCACGAAUUCCCUAAUCCAUCAAUUCACUCAUCCAUUCACCAUCACCAAUCAUCCAAAUCCCUAACCUUCAUCCAUCAAUCCAUCUUCAAGCUUCACAAUGAUCCAAUUCAUGCUUCCAACAUCCGGUGAUCAAGUUUCUUCGAUCAUGCUUGGCUAAUUUCUUGGAGGUUUCACCCCGGUGUAGACUUUUGUAAGGUUUAGGGUUUAUUAUGUUUUGUUAAUUGUUUUGUGACAACUUGAAUUGCGUUUGAAUCUUAGACAAUUGUCCUACGUUGGUAUUGAAUUUGCAAACUGUCGAGUGAAUGAUUAAAUUUGACUUUGUGAAAUGAGUACACGUAUUUAUGCCUUGUCUUUUGGUAGGAUUUGCUAGUCCAAAGUAACGAAGUGUAUCAUGGUCCGUUGUUUACGACGUUGAUAGCGAUUGACACCUAAGCUUUGUGAUUGUGAUCCGUUAAUGAACUAUUUCAAGUGAAACUAAUUAAAAUACAUAGUAACCCUAAGUCUUGCAAUUGUUGAAACCGGGUGUGAACCUUGUUUUCUCAAUAUUGUUCAAACAAUCAUUUUCAAUUCUUGCAUUUAGUAAUCUCGAGUAGUUAAUUUAAUUAAUCAUUUUAGUAAGUCUAAUUCACAUCUUCCAAUCAAACAAAAACACAAAAAUAUAUCUUAGCAAUCUUCAUAAUUGUGAUAACUUCAUAAUUCAAUCAAAUCCGUACACAA
rnacentral:lncRNA from 1 species